rnacentral:lncRNA from 12 species
CUGGCUGAUCGUCAGUUGAUAUCGCACCGGACACAAGAAGAGUGACAAGAUGGGCUGUCUGCUUAGAUGCUGGCUUCUAAGCCCUCUCCUGUGGCUGGACCAUUUAACCCUCAAAAAAAUGCAAACAAAAGAAAAACAAGGUUUUCAAUUGAAGGUACAUCUCUUCUUCAAUAUGAAGACAUUAAUUGAAUUGGUUGGAUCCCCCAUGCAGUGGUCAGCAAAGUCCUUUGGCAACUGACAGAACGACAUCUGGAGACUCAGGAGCUGGGAUUUGGUUUCCCGAGGCAUCUUAAACAUGCUCUGUCACUGAGAAACGAAGGUCGCCUAUUAGGAACAGGUCCAGUUUCUUCUUCACUGAUGUCAUGCGUUUCUCAGCUGAGAAGCCAAUCUUUCCAGAACAUUCCACAGUGGUCAACCUCUGGUUCUCUCUUGAGCCUGGUCCUUUUCCUUCCUCUCCUC